CACGUAGGGCGCGAGCGUUGUCCGGAAUUAUUGGGCGUAAAGAGCUCGUAGGCGGCCUGUUGCGUCCGCUGUGAAAGCCCGGGGCUUAACCCCGGGUCUGCAGUGGAUACGGGCAGGCUAGAGGUAGGUAGGGGAGAAUGGAAUUCCCGGUGUAGCGGUGAAAUGCGCAGAUAUCGGGAGGAACACCUGUGGCGAAAGCGGCGCACUGGACCACAACUGACGCUGAGGCGCGAAAGCUAGGGGAGCAAACAGG
rnacentral:rRNA from 1 species